GCGCGGGCAGCGGGGCGCCCGGGCGGGCGGCACGGAGGGGAGCUGGCGGCUCCGCGAGGAAGCGGGAUGCUGUGCAAGAACAGGGAAAUUAAUUGCAAUUAAAUGUAUUCAGAUAUACCCAGAAUUACAGAUAGGUCUGCUUUUCUCGCUCGCUCUCUCUGUAUAUAUGUAAUGCAUGUAUAUCUCCCGGGGGAAAGGGGUGGGGGGCCGAUGCUCCAAGCGCAGGGAGCGGAGGAGGGGGCGAGGCCAGGCGGCUCGGCAGCUCCCCGGUUGCCGGGCGCAGGCUCUCCCGCGGGGCUGCAGCCCCCCGCCCGGAGGGCGCCCAGCGCCCUGCAUUGCGCGGCCUCCCGCAGCCCCCGCCCGGAGCGAGGCCGGCGCGGCUCGGCUCGGCUCGGCUCGGCACUGCGCGGCGCGGCGGGACGCCCCCGGAGCUUUCAAUGAAAUCUAAUUCAUAAAUUGGACAUGCUCGGGCUCAGAAGACUAAUUCAUCCCCUAAAACAAACGCAUCAGUGAUUGCAGGCACCCAAACGUGACAAGCGUCUCAAUAUGCCAAGGAUCCAGAGAAAACAAAUUCAUUCAGGAGCCCGAAACGUAAUUAAAACUACUGCCAAGAAAAUGAGUUGGGAGCAGGAUGUUACCAAGAUUAUUAAGUUGCUGUGGGGCUGAGGCACGGACCGCGAUAGCGAUACAUAUAGAUAAUGUCAGCAUGUGGAUAACAGGAGGCAGAGCGAUUCCCGGAGGUCGCCGUCUCGCAAGCACAAGUCUGGUAACAGAGCGUUGUGGCCGCAUCCUGCUCACGGGGAGGUAACGCCAGAGCUCAGAGCCUCAGCGGGGGACGGAUCAGGCCCCCGCCUGCUUCACCCCGGCAGCCUGUCCACAGAGGGGCCAAGGGCCCGUUUCCCCCUGCUGUUACACCGGCCCCGCCAUGUAAAUUCAGCACACUUUUUAUAACCGUCACCUGUACACGCGCUACUGAAUUCUCCAGAUACUUAGCGUUGCUUGCUUGCAGGAGAGAUGGCUGCGACAUAUUUAUUUAACAUAGAAAACCUUUUUUUCAUGCAGAGCACACUAUGGCAAAAACUGCUUAAUGCUAAGGAGUGGGAAAUAUAGAUAAGCUUUACAAUGGCUGGGGAGGCCGAAGCGGGAAGGAACACAGUAUAGAUGGAACAGAGUGAAAGGGAAGGAAGCUGAAAUGGAAAUGAUAUGAACAAGAAUCCCUGUUGAUCCACAUGCAUCAACGGCCUCCUAUUCAGUGGUAGUUACAAGCACAGCUUUUGAACAGGGAAAAGCGGGAGGUAAAUAAAACAAGAUAUACUUUUAAAAAAUAAAUCACUUGUUAACUACUCUUACUUACAGUCCUUGUCUUAUAUAUGCAAUUUCACACUGAUCAAUGCAGAAUGAUAUAUGCUAUACGCUGUAUUUCAUGUAAUAAAAACACUUAAUCCAGAUAAUUGGCUUCUGGGACAAAGAUCAA